CAGCAGCCGCGGGAAUACGUAGGGUGCAAGCGUUAAUCGGAAUUACUGGGCGUAAAGCGUGCGCAGGCGGUUAUAUAAGACAGAUGUGAAAUCCCCGGGCUCAACCUGGGAACUGCAUUUGUGACUGUAUAGCUAGAGUACGGCAGAGGGGGAUGGAAUUCCGCGUGUAGCAGUGAAAUGCGUAGAUAUGCGGAGGAACACCGAUGGCGAAGGCAAUCCCCUGGGCCUGCACUGACGCUCAUGCACGAAAGCGUGGGGAGCAAACAGGAUUAGAUACCCCAGUAGUCCCUGUCUCUUAUAC
rnacentral:rRNA from 1 species